rnacentral:rRNA from 1 species
GACGGGGGGGGCAAGUGUUCUUCGGAAUGACUGGGCGUAAAGGGCACGUAGGCGGUGAAUCGGGUUGAAAGUGAAAGUCGCCAAAAAGUGGCGGAAUGCUCUCGAAACCAAUUCACUUGAGUGAGACAGAGGAGAGUGGAAUUUCGUGUGUAGGGGUGAAAUCCGUAGAUCGUACGAAGGAACGCCAAAAGCGAAGGCAGCUC